UACGGAGGAUCCGAGCGUUGUCCGGAUUUAUUGGGCGUAAAGAGCUCGUAGGCGGUUUGUCGCGUCUGCCGUGAAAGUCCGGGGCUCAACUCCGGAUCUGCGGUGGGUACGGGCAGACUAGAGUGAUGUAGGGGAGACUGGAAUUCCUGGUGUAGCGGUGAAAUGCGCAGAUAUCAGGAGGAACACCGAUGGCGAAGGCAGGUCUCUGGGCAUUAACUGACGCUGAGGAGCGAAAGCAUGGGGAGCGAACGGG
rnacentral:rRNA from 1 species